GCCUUUGUGAUGUAGUGGUCAGCACCCUUGAUGCGUAACCGAGAGGUCCGGGGUUCGAUUCCCGGCGAAGGCG
rfam:Stegodyphus mimosarum contig65450, whole genome shotgun sequence.